GAUGAACGCUGGCGGCGUGCCUAAUACAUGCAAGUCGAGCGAACGGACGAGAAGCUUGCUUCUCUGAUGUUAGCGGCGGACGGGUGAGUAACACGUGGAUAACCUACCUAUAAGACUGGGAUAACUUCGGGAAACCGGAGCUAAUACCGGAUAAUAUUUUGAACCGCAUGGUUCAAAAGUGAAAGACGGUCUUGCUGUCACUUAUAGAUGGAUCCGCGCUGCAUUAGCUAGUUGGUAAGGUAACGGCUUACCAAGGCAACGAUGCAUAGCCGACCUGAGAGGGUGAUCGGCCACACUGGAACUGAGACACGGUCCAGACUCCUAAGGGAGGCAGCAGUAGGGAAUCUUCCGCAAUGGGCGAAAGCCUGACGGAGCAAAGCCGCGUGAGUGAUGAAGGUCUUCGGAUCGUAAAACUCUGUUAUUAGGGAAGAACAUAUGUGUAAGUAACUGUGCACAUCUUGACGGUACCUAAUCAGAAAGCCACGGCUAACUACGUG
rnacentral:rRNA from 1 species